rnacentral:lncRNA from 1 species
UAGUUAAGGGUGAGGUAAGAGUUUUUCUUGAGGUGGUUGGAUCUUGCCUGCCUUCGGCUCAAAGUGGUCUUCAUACCAAAGUGCCCCAUUCUGGGGAGACUCAUUCCGAACCACAUCAGGCUCACAUUCCUGCCUGUCUUUUGUCCUCACUUGGUAACAAAAACCACUUAAAGUAACUCCAUCAGCUUUUGCCUCUUUUGCUCUGACUCAGUUUAAUUAGUCUCUCUCAAAACUUCUAAGUUCAGUUCAGUAAACCCAACUUGUGUCCAAUGUUCUAGGAAUCAAAAGGUAUCUAGGAGGGAAGGAUUUCCUCAAGUAUCUUAAAUUUGAAGAGUGACGAUGUCAAUGCCUUCUGGGAUUCUAACUUUUAAAGGAAGAGAUGAAAUGAAACCACAACAAAAAAUAACACUCAUAAAUCUAAUAUUACAUUAAAAAUGUAAGAGUGGUCUAAACAUUUGGAAAAAUAAUCACAGCAAGGACAUUAAUUUCCACCUGCAGAAAGUAGAAUAUUGCCCCCCCACCCCUGCCCCCACCAAGAUGUCCAUGUCAUAAGCCUCAUAACUUGUGAAUAUAUAUUACCUUGCCUGGCAAAAGAUACUUUGCAGAUGGGAUAAAUCAGGGAUCUUGAAAUAGGAAGAUUAUCUGUGGCUAUUCAGAUGGACUUAAGGUGAUUACAGAGGGCUUUCUGAGAGGGUUGGAGUCAGAGAGAGAGUUGGAAAGGCCACACUGCUGACUUUGAACAGGGAAGAAAGGGACCCGAGCCAAGAGAUUUAGGCAUUCUCUAAAAUAUGGAAAGGCCAGGAAAUGGAUUCUCCCUUAGAGUUUCCAGAAGGAAUGCAACCCUACUGACACCUUGAUGUGAGCCCAGAGAGACUUCUGAUCUGCAGCACUCUCAGAUAGAAAAUGUAUGUUGUUCUGAGUCGGUUUGUGUCUGAAGCAAGCGGAAACAAAUACUCUAUUCAAGAAAACCUUCAGAGAGAACCUGGCAUUUAGGUUAAGCUUUCCACAGGUAGAAUGGAGGCAAAAAGCCUGCCACAAAGGUGGAGACCAUAAUUACUGCUACUGAAAGAGGAUAUUUUACUAUAGCCCAAAUAAUACAGCAUGAAUGAUAGUAGCGAUUGAUGGGAAUUUGUAGAUAAAAUCUACCUAGUGUUAAUUUUUUAAAUUUCCACUUACUCAGUGGAAAGCCAUUAAAGACUGAGAUGUACAUUCACCCACCCAUGCCUACACCCACACUUUCACCCACAGAUGCAAAUAUGCAAAUAUAUGCAAACAUAGGCAAACUGUUGCAUGACCUACUUAUGACCUCCCUAGUGCCAGGGUGAGCAUUUGAUCAUUGGUCUCCUUUGCUAUCAUUACAAGUCAUUCAGCAAUUGUCAUAAUUUUUGCAUAGUUAUUAUUGUUUCCGUUGUUAUCUUACAACUGAAUCCUUUCAGGUAAUGCUAGUGAAAGUUGCUUGAAAACGGUCAUCCAAAUUCUAGGAAUUGCCUUCAAUACCUGGGGUGAUAUGGGAAAGAGACAGAAGUGUAAAUAUUUUAUGUGUAUAACAUUGCUACGUGAUUUUCUUUUAUUUUUGCUUUAUUUUCCUCAUGUGUAGAAUGAGGCUAAUAAAUACUAUCUCAGAUGCUUAUUGUAGGCACUAAAAGAUACAGUUCACUGAUAUCACCUAGGGGAGAAAAGACGGAAAGAAACAGUUCCCAGUAUUUAUUAAGUGCAUAUUAAUGCCAUUAUUUAUAUUGUGUUUAUUUCUCAACAGAAUAUAUUUUUGAUAAAAUUUACCCUCUAAUUUCCCUAAUAAACUUUCUAAAGUACAGAAAAAUGAGAGAAUUGCUGAUUAGGGAAAUGCUGGUAUCUGUUUACAAAUUGACAUUUAAUUUUAUGGUAGAAACUUCAUCUUAGUAAGCAAAAAAAAAAAUCAUUUGUAAACAAAAAGUUGCAGAUUUUUUCUGUUGGAAGGAAUUGAUCUUGGGUCACUACAACUUUCUUAUCCCUACCAUAUGUUGAUUUAGAAAAAAAAGGAAUUGCCAAUUAAACAGAAAUUAUUUUCCCUUGAUAAGACUAUAAUGGUAUAUUUUAAAAUAUGAAUUUUUAACUACAUUGCCAACAACAACGAAGAUAAACGUUCCAAAUUGCUAGACAGUUCUGAACAAUUCUACAAAAUGGUUUAGUUAGCACUCUGAACUUUCCAGAAGAAUGACUGACAAAUUUUAUCCAGACUAGUAGAAAUGUUUUGCCUCUCAUUUAGUACACGGAUGAAAAAGGAAUGGAGAUUUAGCUAGGAUGACCUAAAAGAGAGAGAAUUAAGAAGAGACAAUUUUGAAUCUGUGUCGGCAUAAAACAUGACAUGAGAGCAGGGGGAGUUCUAAUUCUAUUAAAUACAGUGUCUUCAGAGAGAAAAUUGAACUGGUCAAGACUCAUCAGAUAGUAUUAAGUGAAAGAAGAUGGCUAAUGGCAUGUCACAGAGAUCGAUGGGUGGCCCACCUCUGCCCAGCUAUCUGCAUGGCUUCCCCUCACAAUGGACAGAUGUGUAAAUCACAGGAAAUUGGAAAGAAUAGUCAAGUUCCUUUAAAAUGGCAACAUAACGCCUCUCUUUGUAAGCUUUUCAGCUUAUAGCAAUGAUUUUAUAAAAUAAAGGAAUUUAACAUCCUGUUUGCAUAAAUCGUUGUAAUACAAAUGCUCCAUUAUGACAACAGAUUUAAUAUUGACCCAUUACUUUGUAUUCAAACUUCCUCAAGUUAAUGCAAUCUCAUGUGGCAAUACUAGAUAUUAACAUAUAGGUUAGCCAUUUACUGUUAGAAAGCUGCUAUUAUUAAAAUGCUUUUAAUUUUAUUGUAUCAUUAUAUUCUUGCAAUAACUUCUAAAGAUGGCAACAUUACUACUGUUCUAAGACUGAAUUUUAGGAAGCUUGUUACUGGCUGACAUUCAUGCCGCUAAGAUAAUAGCAGAGUCGAGAUUCUAAUCUUUGUCUCAUCUUAGAGUUUAAGAUUUUUAACAGCAAUAUACCGGUACACAUGUAUACACAAAGCCUAUCCAAUAUAUGCAUGUUUAUAUGUAGGCAGGCAUGUAUGUAUGGAUGUAUGGAUGUCUUCAUGUAUCUUUGUAUCUAUCUACCUCUCUACCUGUCUAUACCUACACUCUUGGUUGGAAUCAUACUUAUGAUCUUAUAGAAUUGUCCCCUCUCCAGAGUCAUUUGAGGAAGUGAUAGGCGCUAUUCUUCAGGUGAGAAUAGAGUGGCCUUGGACAAGGAGAGCGCUCGGGGAAUAGGGAAAAGCAGGAGGAAAGAAAAAUCGCUAAGCUUUGUUUCCACUAUGAGGAGGUAAAAAGAACCAAGGUUGCAAUUUAAAGUCCCAUGUAUCUUUCAAAGCAUUCUAAGAGGCACAUUAAGCCAAAGUGAGGAAUUGAUAUGGGAUCUUACUGAAGGAGUCAGAAUUUCCAGAUUGAGGGAAAUAAGCUCCUAAACUGACACUCGGUUCUUUGGAUAUGACAAAAUCUCAUUCUUCGCCCCUGACACAAAACAUUCUUUUUAAAUACAAGGCAGUUUUCCUAAAAAUGCAGUUGUAAUUUUUUUUCAAAUAAGUUCUAUAUAAGUAUACUUAGGUCUAUGAAUAUACAUCGAUACAUAGCUCUGUAAUACAGAUCCAUAAAUUCCCUGUAACGCAGAGACUUUGUGAUGAAUGGAGUGAUGAGACAAAAAGACACCACAAAUCCGAUAGUGACAGCUUUGGGUUCAAAUCCUAAUUCUUAAUGAGAAUUAGCAUUUUCAUUAUGAAAAUGAAAAUAGUAUUACAUACCUUUUAGAUUAUGAAAAGGUAAAAUUAUUAAAACAUAGAUAAAGUCCCACAGUGAUGAUAGGUCUUAUUAUGACUAAAAGUUUUGUUGUUCGAAUCAUAUAGGGUUUCAGGUGAUAAGGGGAAAGAGAUACAGUGUUUCUUUGUCUAAGUUAAGACUUUGCAGCAAAAGAUGAUUAUUUAAAGUUACCCAGAGGUGAAUGAAGUAACGGCAUCUAUGGAAUGUGAGCUUCUAUCAGUGCAUGCGUUAAAUUACCUCUGACUUCUGUUGUGAUUUGAAUUAAUAUACAACAGCAUCUAUCUCUGAACCUGACUCAUCCUGCACAGACAAUGUUUUGUAAUUAAAUAUACAUCUGAAUUUAUUAGCCAUAUGCAAUAUCCUGGCUUAAAAGUACAGGCUUCUACCUGUGGCUACAAAGACAAAUACAAUGUUAUUCAUAUUCUCUGUCAGAAUAUUGAACAGAGAUAAGUGAGAUUCAAUUUGGCAACUAAAUGCAUUGUGUUAAGUAUUACAAUAAAGAUAAGCAUAAAAUUAUGUGGGGGCAGCCAACCUUAACCAUUGAAAAAAAUAGACUAUCCUUAUCCUAAGACCAUGUUAUUCCAUAAAAUUCUGCAUUGCCCCCACAUUUACUCAGAAUUAAAGCCAAAAUCCUUACAGUAGCCUAUAUACCCACAUAUAGUUGUUUCCUCUAUACAGUUUUAUGAUGUCUAACUCCUACUCUUCCCUCUAAUCACACCAAUCCAACUUUUUGGCCAUUCCCCAUACACGGCGAGGCAUGUGCAUUCCUAUCUUAGCUAAAUGCACAGGCUUCCUUCUCUGCCUAGACCACUCCUCCUUUGAGACCCACUGGUUCAUCCUCUCAACUCCUUCGAAUCUUUAUGCACAUGUCACCUUCUCAGUGAGACCUCCUCUGAUCACCCUGUUGAAAACUUCUAUCCAUCCACCUCCCUCACCACUUCCUAUCCCUUACCUCCUCUGCCCUUCUGAUCUUCUCACAGACUUUUGAAUAUUCUUAUUUUCAUGCUUAUUUUCCUUCUUCCUCAUUAGAAUAUAAAACUCAGGAAGACAGGAAUUUUUGUUUUGUUCAUUGCAGUGUUCUAAUGUUUAUAAUGGUACCUGGUACUGAGUAGAUAUUGAAUUAAUAUUUUUAGAAUACAUGGAAUAACUAUGUUGGUUGUCAAAGUUAAGUACAGCUUCAUAGAGAGGAUUAAAAUGCAUGGGGCUCUUAUGAAUGAAAAAGAGUAUUGACCAGUUAAAGAAAGAAAUGCUUUCAAACAGGAAAAAAAGUAACAUAAAUAUAUGAUGUCUUUGGUUGGAGAUUAGGUGUUUUUGGGGGGAAGUACCAUUAAAAAACAAAUCAGACUAGAAAGUUAAUACAGUAUCUUAUACAUCAAGUUAGGGAGCUAAAUUUUUAUCUUGAGGGAUUUUUAAAGGUUUUAAGCAGAAGUUGUAUGAGAUCCAUCUUUAACUAUCUUCCUUGGGACAUUCCUGAAAUGAUAACCCUUGAGAAGAUAGUGAUGACUGAAACUAGAUUAGUGCUGGUGAAGAUGAAGAGAAGUUGAUAGGAUUAAACAACCUUUCUGAUAGAGACUGGACAGAUUUUUUGUAAUUGAAUGGAUACAG